GUGAGGGUUUUGCACUCAUUCAGAGGAAGUGAAGAGAGACAGGAUGUGUGAAAACAGUUAAACUACUGCAUUCAGAUCAUAGAGUCAUUUUUACACACAAACACUGCAGAUGAAAGUAAGAAUGUUUCGUCUUUUCUCUCUGAUUUCUCUGUUUGUGAUUCCUGGUGAGUCUGAACAUAAUUCAUAUUUUCACACACACACUGAAGAAACCUCCAUCUUUCAGGAUGUUUUGUCUGUAUUUAAUAUCAAGAAAGUGUAGAGUUCACAGUUCUGCUAAACUGAUACAGACACUUCAAUAUAUGGUAACAGAUCAAAUUAGUCUUUUUAGACGCUUAAAAAACGUUGGGUUAUUUUAUUAACCCAACCGUUGGGUUACACAUAUUGGGUCACUAGGUUGGGUUAUUUACCAAAAAUGUUGGGUCAUUUUUAAAAUCGUUGGGUUAUUUUUAUUAAUAACCCAUCUGUUGGGUUAAAUGCGGAUCCCGUGACGGUUCAAAUUUUAACGGUCCAGGGACAGUCAACGGAAAGAAGCUGCUGCAGCCUGAUUAUGAAGGUAAGCCAUGUCGUUUUCGUAUAUAAAACUUUUAUAACAUUAGGUAUUGUGUAGUGAAACAUUAACUUACGUAUAUUCUACAACUGAAUUUUAUAUUUUUACUAAGGAAGAGUAGGUCUCCGCAAUCACUAUCCAAUAUUACGCAUGUUUUACGGUCUUCGUGAUAAUCUUUCAUAAUAUGACAACUAAAAUUGAGCUUCAGGCUUUAAAAAAGUAACUUACUUUUUUUGUACAGAUCUUUUAGAAAUGCGGAACGAAAGUGCCGUUUGAGCCGAGCCGCGCCGCACGGACCGUUUAUCAGCUCGGCCUACGCAGCGCGAGCUCGGUCAUCGAUCCUCGAUCAUACGGCACCAGCACCACAACAGUGCUGUUUGAAUUCGCUAAAAUCUAAGAUAUUGUAAGAUGAAAGAGCGCAAUAUUCCCAACAGCUUCUAUGCAAAAGCUGGAAAAACGUUGUGCAACCAAUGAACGAUUAGUUCAUGAGUAGUUAUCGAUAAAUAACUUACUGUUUAUUAGAUUUACUGUAGUAACACUAACUGCAAAUCUGGUAUUUGCAGAAAUGUGGUAUAUUAAUAAUGCAUGUUCUAUAUAGUAAUGCAUGUAAAUGUAUUACAGGGGUAUCUGAAGCAUCUUUGUACUAUUAUUUCUUAUGAAGCUAACGUUAUGUUAGUUCUUGCAUUUGUGUUGUACUAAAUGUGUUUAUACUUGUGUUUUAGACAAAUGGAAUAAUUUGUGAAGCAAAGACUACAACAACCUGCUAUUUAAUGGAAACAUUUGAAGAGCAAGAAGUGGAUGAAAGUUUUAUGCUGCUGGAUGACCGUGGUUCUCAACUGGUCCUAGAUUAUCCCCAGCAAUACACAUUUUUGAUGUCUUCCUUAUCUGACACCCUUUUCCGGCCUUGGAGUCUCUCUGCUAACAAGCUGAUGGUCAUGGAGAAACUGCCUUCAAAACCCUUCCCGCUGUCCUGCCAUCAUCGCCAUGUCUCACAGUUGGGAAAAUGGUGCUGAAAUGAAGCACAGCUUAACUGACAAUCACUCUGUUGGCACUAAUAUAAUGCAUUACCUGAGCAGUGAGACAAGCCAGGAUCCACAUGACUUGAUGCCUUGAGGACAAAGAGAACUCCCAAGUUUUUAACACAUCAAUGCAUACAAUGUACAGUGUUGACCCACAAAAUAGAACCAGAGUCCUAUUCCAUUAUUCCUACCUGUGGCCGACCUUAUUGCGGACCUUAAGCGCCUGCUGUACGCGAUAUGUUUAUUUAUUGAAGGAUUUAAUGUUAUGAAUUUAUGUGUACUCGUAGUUUUUCAUUUAGUGUUCAUUUUGUAUUUGUGUGUUCUGUAUAUGUGCAUAUUUUAUGCAUGUUUUGAGUUUACAUGGUUGCGAAAGUUUUAAAUAUAGGUUUUAAUUGUGUACUGUUUGCAAAUUUAUAGGUUUUGAAUUUAAUAUUUACUGUACACUUUUGUGUAGGUUUAAAUAAUGUUCAUUUUGAAUUUUUGUGUUCUGUAUACAUAUUUUAUUUAUGUUUUGAGUUUACUCUGUACAUGUUUGUGUAGGUUUUGAAUGUGUAAUGUUUGUACGAAUUUGCAUAGGUUUUGAAUUGAUUUACACUUGUGUGUUUUGAAUUUAAUAUGUACACUUAUAUUUACAUUAAAUGGCUCCACAAUAUUUAAUUUGUAAUUUAAAAUAUAUUUGUUAAAACAUAUUUUAUACAAAUAAACAAUCUAGAAAACAAAGUGUAUUUUAUAUAUUAAAAUAAUGUCAUGAAUAAAAGUUAAUAGUCAUAGUUAGUAAAUAACCCAACAAGUAACCCAACUAUGGGUUAACAUAGCACCUU